GGGUAGGUAGCGCGUAAGUGGAAGCGCCCUGGACUGUAAAUCCAGUGUCUCAGACCUUGGAGGUUCGAUCCCUCCCCUGCCCACCA
rnacentral:tRNA from 4 species